CAGCCGCCGCGGUAAUACGUAGGUGGCAAGCGUUGUCCGGAAUUAUUGGGCGUAAAGGGCUCGCAGGCGGUUUCUUAAGUCUGAUGUGAAAGCCCCCGGCUCAACCGGGGAGGGUCAUUGGAAACUGGGGAACUUGAGUGCAGAAGAGGAGAGUGGAAUUCCACGUGUAGCGGUGAAAUGCGUAGAGAUGUGGAGGAACACCAGUGGCGAAGGCGACUCUCUGGUCUGUAACUGACGCUGAGGAGCGAAAGCGUGGGGAGCGAACAGGAUUAGAUACCCUGGUAGUCCACGCCGUAAACGAUGAGUGCUAAGUGUUAGGGGGUUUCCGCCCCUUAGUGCUGCAGCUAACGCAUUAAGCACUCCGCCUGGGGAGUACGGUCGCAAGACUGAAACUCAAAGGAAUUGACGGGGGCCCGCACAAGCGGUGGAGCAUGUGGUUUAAUUCGAAGCAACGCGAAGAACCUUACCAGGUCUUGACAUCCUCUGACAAUCCUAGAGAUAGGACGUCCCCUUCGGGGGCAGAGUGACAGGUGGUGCAUGGCC
rnacentral:rRNA from 1 species